rnacentral:lncRNA from 1 species
GGUCACAAACGCCCGCCCUUCUGCCUGCCCCUCGUCUGGCUCUGCGUUUCUCCUCAGCAUGUUGUCACCUGACACGCUGUGGACUCGAUUUGAUUUGUGCGUCCUCAUUCUGUCCUCGCUAGGAUGGAGGUUCCACGAGAACAGGGCUUUCCUCUGGCUGCUGACGACGGAGCUCCCGGCACCUGCACGAGUGCGUGGCGCGUGGGAGCAGGUGUGCGCUGAGUGCUCGGUGCAGUUGCUGGCAGCGCGUGCACGUCCGCAGCUGUGAGCGUAGCUCUAGCAGUGUAGACACCUGGGAAAGUCGGGGCCCAAUCAGUGAGCUGCUCCUGCCCCUCAUCCGCUCCAAAUUUUGAGUCUGUGUCACCCACUUUGCAGCUUUUCCAUCUACUCUGAUAGAAUCGUCUCGAUAGGACAAUGCCUAUUCCUGUUCUGAGCCUAAGUUCUAUCUCCUGCAUGGGUCACAAAGCCGAGCCCCUGGCCACUGAGGCCUCCCCGUUCGCCUCCCAGAGGCCGCCACUUUCUUCAGGGCUAUCAGAUGAAGGCAGCAACGAAAACACCACCACAAGACCAACUUCAGGCUGGAGCUGAUGAUGCCACACAGAAAAUAGACUCUACUUAGAAAUGAAACUCAACUAAAGGUAAAAGUUGUCAGGAACAUCUCCAAGAAAGCCAGAGUCAGCCUCUAAACUUUGCAUCAAGAACGCAAUGGCUUCCCUGAGGGCCCAGGGACGCGUGGCAGCUGUGAGGCAGCCCCUUCUCUGCUGUCGAGGAACUGGACACUUCUCCUGUCCCUUCCCACAAGAUAUAAAAGAUUCAGGACGUAGUGCUCGUGGUUGGGGUCGGGGACAUGGCAAGACAGGAGCGGAAGAGAGAGACGGAGAAGACGCAGGGGAACUGCAUCUGCCUCUGCUGCUCAGGAACAGCGUUGAGACCGGCGCAGGGACCAUGGGUGGGAGAGUCCUGAUGUACUCAAUGUAUAAUAUUAGGCAGAAACCCAAUAUAAAAAGAAAAGCAGAGUUGUUGUAGAUUCAUCGAGGGUUGGCGACCUGGUUCCAAUGAGCCAUCUCCCUGUUCCGACAGGGGCUUCCUGGAGCUCCUGCAACCCCAGGCAUUAGUUCCGGUGCAGUUCUAGGAUCAGAUCAAUUCACUCGACAACAAGAGAAACAAAUGGAGAUUCCUACACAAAGACUUUCAAGCACAAAGAAAUCCUGCUGCCUGUAAAGCGGAGCUGCCUCAGCCCUUGAUGAACGACAGAAAAUACCACCUACUGCCAGACCUCAACGCCUCACAAAACUCUCACCCACCUACUGCUUUUAGCUCACAUUCCAGGAAUUCAGAUGAAGUGAAGUGCUCUCAUGGGGACCAGGCAUGGUUAUGCCAGUCCACUGCCCUGCAAGCCUCAAGGGAAGCCAACUGCCCUUCAGCAAGUCACACCUGCCUUGGUGGAGGCCUUGAUUGGAAGUGCCACACGCUACAUGUCCAGUCCUGAGCGGGAGAAUCGGUGUAGGGACGUUCUGGGGAUGCCAGCUGUGGCCAGAUCAGGUCCAACUACAGAAGAAUAAUGAAGACUCCACCUGAGGGCUGGAAAAACAAAACCUCAAGUGUGAGGCAGCCAACCUGUUACCUCGAGGGACUGUUCCGCAGCACAGCGGGGCCAUGGGAACAGCAGCAGACACCCCGACCUCCUCGCUACCUGUAUCAACUAUGGCCUGAGUAUGAUAGACUUAUCCAUGGUUUAAACAGAAUAUAUUGUUUUCAACUUUGAAAAUAAGAAUAUGGAAAUCCAGAUGCAGAAAUGUGAGAAGAAAAGAGAGUAAACAGAGUGGAAGGUCAGGUGACCUUGCCUGUCAUGAAUAUGAAGGUCAAGGUGUGUGAAUUGUGAAAUUUCCAAGAGAACCUCACUGAAGCAAAGAAUGAAGAAAGAAUUGCAUUUGGCCCUGGGAGGGUGCAGGGGUGAAUGGUGCAGGAGCUAAAUCUUUAUCAUACCCAGAAAUCAACAGCCACUAUUUGAAAUCAUCUAAAUUCGUGCUGCUAACCUUCAGUGUACACACGAAUCACCUGGGGAUCUUACUAAAAGCUAGUUUCUGAUUCACUAAAUCUGUGUGUGGUGGAAGUUGAGGGCAGAGAAGCUCCCGAGGGUGUCAAGCUGACUCUGAACCCGACUUUGAGGGUUAAGGUCCCAAAUGGCAUCGCCAGCACCAGGGACAGACACUAAAAUUGUAGAAAUCGUCUCAAGAAAUGAACAGCCUCUAAGUCAGAUGUUGAAUGUGAAAGAAAUCAGGGUGUGUACGUGUGUGUGCAUUUGUGUGUGCACGUGUGUGCCUGUGUUUGUCUCUGUGCAUGUAUGUUUCUAUGUGUGCACAUGUGUGUAUGUGUCUGUACAUGUGUGUUUCUGUGUGUGUGCCUGUGUGUGUAUUGGCUUAGAUCUGUUCGAGACUUUUUAUUUGAUGAGAUCGAUAUAUGCCACCACUUUUGGAAAGGACAACGUAUAUACAAAGACAAUGAUUACUUAUGUAAUGUGAACGGAGUCUCUCUUCGACCCUCAAAUGUUUUGUAGAAAGUAAUGAUGAUGGUGAGGAUUAUAACAAUGCGUGUUUCCUGAAUAACAAAAAGGAGUUACAGUACACUUUUACCUAUUUUUCCAAAGCGCUAGGUCAAGUUUAGCUAAAGUCUGCUUGGAAUUAAUGAGGCUUGGAAAUGUAAAAUCUCAGAGCAGUAAACAUCUCUUUGUCCUAAUGUUCUUAUGUAGCCAUUAAAACUUAAAUAUUAAUACUAAAAUAACUACUGUAAAAUAAAGUAAAAAUGUACGAGAAUAAU